rnacentral:rRNA from 1 species
CAGCUAUACAUGCAAGUCGAGCGAACAGACAAGGAGCUUGCUCCUUUGACGUUAGCGGCGGACGGGUGAGUAACACGUGGGUAACCUACCUAUAAGACUGGGAUAACUUCGGGAAACCGGAGCUAAUACCGGAUAAUAUUUCGAACCGCAUGGUUCGAUAGUGAAAGAUGGUUUUGCUAUCACUUAUAGAUGGACCCGCGCCGUAUUAGCUAGUUGGUAAGGUAACGGCUUACCAAGGCGACGAUACGUAGCCGACCUGAGAGGGUGAUCGGCCACACUGGAACUGAGACACGGUCCAGACUCCUACGGGAGGCAGCAGUAGGGAAUCUUCCGCAAUGGGCGAAAGCCUGACGGAGCAACGCCGCGUGAGUGAUGAAGGUCUUCGGAUCGUAAAACUCUGUUAUUAGGGAAGAACAUACGUGUAAGUAACUAUGCACGUCUUGACGGUACCUAAUCAGAAAGCCACGGCUAACUACGUGCCAGCAGCCGCGGUAAUACGUAGGUGGCAAGCGUUAUCCGGGAAUUAUUGGGCGUAAAGCGCGCGUAGGCGGUUUUUUAAGUCUGAUGUGAAAGCCCACGGCUCAACCGUGGAGGGUCAUUGGAAACUGGAAAACUUGAGUGCAGAAGAGGAAAGUGGAAUUCCAUGUGUAGCGGUGAAAUGCGCAGAGAUAUGGAGGAACACCAGUGGCGAAGGCGACUUUCUGGUCUGUAACUGACGCUGAUGUGCGAAAGCGUGGGGAUCAAACAGGAUUAGAUACCCUGGUAGUCCACGCCGUAAACGAUGAGUGCUAAGUGUUAGGGGGUUUCCGCCCCUUAGUGCUGCAGCUAACGCAUUAAGCACUCCGCCUGGGGAGUACGACCGCAAGGUUGAAACUCAAAGGAAUUGACGGGGACCCGCACAAGCGGUGGAGCAUGUGGUUUAAUUCGAAGCAACGCGAAGAACCUUACCAAAUCUUGACAUCCUUUGACAACUCUAGAGAUAGAGCCUUCCCCUUCGGGGGACAAAGUGACAGGUGGUGCAUGGUUGUCGUCAGCUCGUGUCGUGAGAUGUUGGGUUAAGUCCCGCAACGAGCGCAACCCUUAAGCUUAGUUGCCAUCAUUAAGUUGGGCACUCUAAGUUGACUGCCGGUGACAAACCGGAGGAAGGUGGGGAUGACGUCAAAUCAUCAUGCCCCUUAUGAUUUGGGCUACACACGUGCUACAAUGGACAAUACAAAGGGCAGCGAAACCGCGAGGUCAAGCAAAUCCCAUAAAGUUGUUCUCAGUUCGGAUUGUAGUCUGCAACUCGACUACAUGAAGCUGGAAUCGCUAGUAAUCGUAGAUCAGCAUGCUACGGUGAAUACGUUCCCGGGUCUUGUACACACCGCCCGUCACACCACGAGAGUUUGUAACACCCGAAGCCGGUGGAGUAACCAUUGGAGCUAGCCGUCGAAG